GCUGGAAUAGCUCAGUUGGUAGAGCAGAGGACUGAAAAUCCUCGUGUCACCA
rnacentral:tRNA from 1 species